rnacentral:rRNA from 1 species
CUACGGGACGCUCCAGUGGGGAAUAUUGGACAAUGGACCAAAAGUCUGAUCCAGCAAUUCUGUGUGCACGAUGAAGGUCUUCGGAUUGUAAAGUGCUUUCAGUAGGGAAGAAGAAUGUGACGGUACCUACAGAAGAAGCGACGGCUAAAUACGUGCCAGCAGCCGCGGUAAUACGUAUGUCGCAAGCGUUAUCCGGAAUUAUUGGGCAUAAAGGGCGUCUAGGUGGUUUACUAAGUCUGAUGUGAGAAUGCGGGGCUCAACUCCGUAUUGCGUUGGAAACUGGUUUACUAGAGUCUUGGAGAGGUGGGCGGAACUACAAGUGUAGAGGUGAAAUUCGUAGAUAUUUGUAGGAAUGCCGAUGACGAAGGUAGCUCACUGGACAAGUACUGACACUAAAGCGCGAAAGCUAGGGGAGCAAACAGGAUUAGAUACCCCCGUAGUC